UCUCCGUAGGUGAACCUGCGGAGGGAUCAUUACAGAGUUCAUGCCCUACCGGGUAGAUCUCCCACCCUAUGUUAUUAUUACUUUGUUGCUUUGGCGGGCCGUUAGGCUCCGGCCCGACUACCGGCCCCGGCUGGUAAGCGCCCGCCAGAGGACCCAAAACCCUGAAUAUUAGUGUCGUCUGAGUACUAUAUUAUAGUUAAAACCUUCAACAACGGAUCUCUUGGUUCUG
rnacentral:misc_RNA from 1 species